rnacentral:tRNA from 1 species
CAGUAUAGUGGUUAGCAAUGCUGACUGCUGUGCAGUAGGGCCUGGGUUCGAAUCCCGGAGA